GGCUAUUGUUGUGGCGCUGGUCGGCCCGACCGGCCCGAUGAGUAGGUAGGAAGCCGGUGUGAAUCCGGCAUGGUCCCGCCACUGUGACUGGGGAGCGAACCCCACAUCGACCACGGCUUGACGGCUGGAAGGUCGGGGUGAGCACUGAUCCAGAAGUCAGGAUACUGCUCUCAUUGGCCCUCUUGCU
rnacentral:ncRNA from 20 species